rnacentral:miRNA from 1 species
ACACUCUUAUAUUAUAUUGCGCGCGAGUUAUAUGGGUGUCUGAAUUUCAGACAGCCAUAUAACUCGCAAUAGAAUAUAAGAGUGUCUGAAAUUCAGACACCCAUAUAACUCGCAAUAGAAUAUAAGAGUGU